GCUGGGUGCAGUGGCAUACACCUGUAAUCCCAGCUGCUCGGGAGGCUCAGACAGGAGGAUCAUAAGUUCAAAGCCAGCCUCACCAACGGCGAGGUGCUAAGCAAUUCAGUGAGACCCUGUCUCUA
rnacentral:sRNA from 1 species